UGAGGAACAUGACCUUCGGCGGGGGAUAGCCGGCCCAACGGCCGGGUAAUACCGCGUACGACCACUUUGGGACAUCCCUGGGUGGUGAAAGCAGCAAUGCGCCGAUGGAGUGCCUCGCGGCCUAUCAGCUAGUUGGUGAGGUAACGGCUCACCAAGGCGACGACGGGUAGCUGGUCUGAGAGGAUGGCCAGCCACAUUGGGACUGAGACACGGUCCAGACCCCUACGGGAGGNAG
rnacentral:rRNA from 1 species